AAAAAUAAAUGAAGGGGAAAGUAGUGAGCUUUGAUGAGCGCCCACCGUACGAUUUUUAACAACCAGACCUCAUUGAGGAGUGAGUGUACUAUCGCAACCUUUCUUGAAGACUUUUGUAGCUCCCUCGCAAGACUAAAACUAUAAAGCUGCGCCACUGACCGGCUUAAAUCACGCUCUUACAAAAUCUGCGCCUACAAGCCAAGCCUACAAAAAGCAAAAGUACUUUCGAGAUCCUGCA